ACCUGGCUGGCUCAGUCGGAAGAGUAUGCGACUCUUAAUCUCAGGGUCAUGAGUUCGAGCCCCACGUUGGGUG
rnacentral:tRNA from 1 species